rnacentral:tmRNA from 1 species
GGGGGCGUAACGGCUUCGACGGGAUGGAUUUGGUGUGAUGAGGCGUGUCGGGCUCCAGGCUCCCGUAAAACGACUGGAACAACAAAACUGCCAAUAAUCAGCAGUUCGCAUACGCUGCCUAAUUAAAUAGGUAGCCGCUGCCGGUCGAGUGCCUGCGCUUGAUCGAUACAGCGUCUUCUCACAGGAUCGGUCCAAAGUCUCCGCCUGGGGCAGAGGAUUUAAAACCAAUCAGGCUGGACUCCACCGCUUCUUGCCGUUUCCGAGGGUGGGGUUGAGAUUGUGAAGCGGAUACACACGUAGUCUUGUCAUGGCAGGCCAUUUCGGACGCGGGUUCAACUCCCGCCGCCUCCACCA